GACGAACCGUGCGAACGUUGUUCGGAAUCACUGGGCUUAAAGGGCGCGUAGGCGGCUUCGCAAGUCCGGGGUGAAAGCCUCCAGCUCAACUGGAGAAGUGCCUUGGAUACUGCGGGGCUCGAGGGAGGUAGGGGUGCGUGGAACUUCCGGUGGAGCGGUGAAAUGCGUAGAGAUCGGCAGGAACACCCGUGGCGAAAGCGGCCACCUAGCCCGCACCUGACGCUGAUGCGCGACAGCGUGGGGAGCGAACUGG
rnacentral:rRNA from 1 species